UGCCCCAGUAACGGCGAGUGAAGCGGCAACAGCUCAAAUUUGAAAUCUGGCCCCCAGGCCCGAGUUGUAAUUUGCAGAGGAUGCUUUUGGUGAGGCACCUACCGAGUCCCCUGGAAUGGGGCGCCAUAGAGGGUGAGAGCCCCGUAUGGUAGGACGCCGAACCUCUGUAAAGCUCCUUCGACGAGUCGAGUAGUUUGGGAAUGCUGCUCUAAAUGGGAGGUAAAUUUCUUCUAAAGCUAAAUACCGGCCAGAGACCGAUAGCGCACAAGUAGAGUGAUCGAAAGAUGAAAAGCACUUUGAAAAGAGGGUUAAAAAGUACGUGAAAUUGUUGAAAGGGAAGCGCUUGUGACCAGACUUGCGCCGGGCGGAUCAUCCAGCGUUCUCGCUGGUGCACUCCGCCCGGUUCAGGCCAGCAUCGGUUUUCGCCGGGGGACAAAGGCUUCGGGAACGUGGCUCCUCUCGGGGAGUGUUAUAGCCCGUUGCGUAAUACCCCGGCGGGGACCGACGACCGCGCUUCGGCAAGGAUGCUGGCGUAAUGGUCAUCAGCGACCCGUCUUGAAACACGGACCGAGGAGUCAAGCAUUAGUGCGAGUGUUUGGGUGUAAAACCCGCACGCGUAAUGAAAGUGAACGUAGGUGAGAGCUUCGGCGCAUCAUCGACCGAUCCUGAUGUUUUCGGAAGGAUUUGAGUAGGAGCAUUAACGCUUGGACCCGAAAGAUGGUGAACUAUACUUGAAUAGGGUGAAGCCA
rnacentral:rRNA from 1 species